GACGAACGCUGGCGGCGUGCCUAAUACAUGCAAGUAGAACGCUGAAGGAGGAGCUUGCUUCUCCGGAUGAGUUGCGAACGGGUGGGUAACGCGUAGGUAACCUGCCUGGUAGCGAGGGAUAACUAUUGGAAACGAUAGCUAAUACCGCAUAAGAGUAGAUGUCGCAUGACAUUUGCUUAAAAGGUGCAACUGCACCACUACCAGAUGGACCUGCGUUGUAUUAGCUAGUUGGUGAGGUAACGGCUCACCAAGGCAACGAUACAUAGCCGACCUGAGAGGGUGAUCGGCCACACUGGGACUGAGACACGGCCCAGACUCCUACGGGAGGCAGCAGUAGGGAAUCUUCGGCAAUGGACGGAAGUCUGACCGAGCAACGCCGCGUGAGUGAAGAAGGUUUUCGGAUCGUAAAGCUCUGUUGUAAGAGAAGAACGAGUGUGAGAGUGGAAAGUUCACACUGUGACGGUAUCUUACCAGAAAGGGACGGCUAACUACGUG
rnacentral:rRNA from 1 species